rnacentral:rRNA from 1 species
GAUGAACGCUGGCGGCGUGCCUAAUACAUGCAAGUCGAGCGAACAGACGAGGAGCUUGCUCCUCUGACGUGAGCGGCGGACGGGUGAGUAACACGUGUAUAACCUACCUAUAAGACUGGGAUAACUUCGGGAAACCGGAGCUAAUACCGGAUAAUAUAUUGAACCGCAUGGUUCGAUAGUGAAAUACGGUUUUGCUGGCACUUAUAGAUGGAUCCGGGCCGGAUGAGAUAGUUGGUAAGGUAACGGCUUACGAAGGCAACGAGGCGUAGACGACCUCAGAGGGGGGUAGGCGACCUGGGAGCGGAGACGGGGUCAAGGCUACUACGGGACGCAGCAGUAGGGUACCUUAGGCAACGGGCGAAAGUAUGACGGAGUAAGGGGGAGUGAGAGAUGAAGGUCUUCGGAGCGUAAUAAUGUGUUACUAGUGAAGAACCAAUGUGGACGUAGCUAUGCACGUCUUGACGGUAACUAAUCAGAAAGCCACGGCUAACUACGUG